rnacentral:rRNA from 1 species
CCUACGGGCGGCAGCAGUGGGGGAUAUUGCACAAUGGGGGGAACCCUGAUGCAGCGACGCCGCGUGGGUGAAGGAGCGUUUCGGCGCGUAAAGCCCUAUCGGCAGGGAAGAAGGAGGACGGUACCUGACUAAGAAGCCCCGGCUAACUACGUGCCAGCAGCCGCGGUAAUACGUAGGGGGCAAGCGUUAUCCGGAUUUACUGGGUGUAAAGGGGGCGCAGACGGCAGCGCAAGCCAGGAGUGAAAGCCCGGGGCCCAACCCCGGGACUGCUCUUGGAACUGCGCGGCUGGAGUGCAGGAGGGGCAGGCGGAAUUCCUGGUGUAGCGGUGAAAUGCAUAGAUAUCACGCAGAACUCCGAUUGCGAAGGCAGCAUACCGGCGCGCAACUGACGCUCAUGCACGAAAGCGUGGGUAUCGAACAGGAUUAGAUACCCCAGUAGUC